GUUGUACUGAAUAUGGUUAUUUAUGUAUAUGUACAUUAAUAAAAUAUGUUUAAUAAGCAGGCAUAAAAUAUAUGAACUUGAAAACUGUUCCCUGGUGGAACAUUGUAGCCUUGGUUGGAGUAUCUAAGUGACUUCCAAAAGAAAUUGUUAGCGACAGUCCGUGUAUUUUGUUCCUGCAUAAGAGGUCAGACAACACACAACAAUUAUUCCCAGUUUUUUUUUGUUGUUGUUCUCGAAGUCUCCUGAGAAUUCUAAUAACUUUCGUGUACAGAAUGGAAAAAUUAAAAACCAAAACCAAAAACAAUUGUUGGACUGGUACCCAGAGGGACAGACAAGCUUUUGAUUCUGUUACAUCAUUAUGGUAGAGGACCUUUAAAAUGAGAAAAUAAGGUACUACGGUAUAUUGCAAAAAUGCUCCUUGUUAUCCACCCCUCUCUGCAUUAAUGCUUUUUUCAACAUGACUCUGCAUCUUCUCUUGUCAGGAGAAGUCCAUUUCCCCACUGAUAAAUCUGGACUGGCCUUGUGACUUGCUUUGCCAGUAGAAUUUGGCAUAAAUGAUGACUGCAAGUUCUGAACUCAGGCCUUGAGAAGUUUUCUGCAGUCAUCUGUCUCUCUUGGAACUCCAUCCUUUGCCAGUGUGAUGAAACCCAAGCUCGCCUGCUAGAGGAUAAAAGAUAAUGUGCCCCCAAACCACAUCAGUCUGAAUGUCUCAGAGAAGGCCACCAAAAAUCAGCAAAGCUUUCAUUUGUGGCUGACGGCAGAUGUAUGAGUGAACUGAGAUCAGCCAAGCUUGGCUCAGAUGGAGUUUCGCUCUUGUUACCCAGGCUGGAGUGCAAUGGCGCGAUCUCGGCUCACCGCAACCUCCGCCUCCUGGGUUCAGGCAAUUCUCCUGCCUCAGCCUCCUGAGUAGCUGGGAUUACAGGCACGCACCACCAUGCCCAGCUAAUUUUUGUAUUUUUAGUAGAGACGGGGUUUCACCAUGUUGACCAGGAUGGUCUCGAUCUCUUGACCUUGUGAUCCACCCGCCUCGGCCUCCCAAAGUGCUGGGAUUACAGGCUUGAGCCACCGUGCCUGGCCUAACAGUUUUUCUUUACGAGAACCUAAAAGAAGGUCCCCACUUCCCUGCUUGGUAAGUGAGAGGAUUUUCCUUGUUCAUUGUUUUCUGUCAUUGAGGGUAAACAGGAGCCAUUCUAACUUGUGGGAAGCAACCACAAAACGUAC
rnacentral:lncRNA from 13 species